UUGAGAUGUGCAUCUCAUUUCCAGUGUCUGGUUUCUCUGAAUUGCUCCCAGCAUCUUACACCACUCUUUUUUGCAGCCCAUCCAGCAUUCAAGCCUCUUCCAGCUGAAAACUUCUACAAUAUAAGAUUCCUAACUCUUCUCUGGGACCAAGAAGUGACCAAGAUACUUUUACCUUGUGUCAGCCUGCAAGAAAAACCUGGACAAAUCUUUCCUCCUUGCCACUGCCCCCACCACCAACACAUGGAGGCCUUUCUUUCAAAUAUUACUCAAAAUCACAGAAGUUUCUUUAGGAAAUCAUGGGAAACUUUCAGGAUUUCUUUCUGCCAUAGAGGUCAUAUGAAAUCAGGUAUCUACAGGUGAGCUUUUCACAUUUGGCUGGCAGGUAUGCUUUAAAACCCUGUGUAAAUGUGUAAUAAAUACUAAAUACAUGUAUAUAUCUGUUGUGUCCCUUCUUUCCUCUAUUUCCUACAAAAAUAGAGUAAGACAGCACUUAAGAAAAGAGCUAGCUGUGGAAUUUUGCUAUGGAAUAUCAGUGUGUUCUAGAUAUUUAAUAGAUAAAACAAAUGGGAAAACUACUGAUGAAUUUGUGAAUAUGUUUUCCUUUCUCACAAAAGUAGUAAGAGUUCUGACCCCUGCCUGUGCUGGCUUUCUGUCAU